CGAACGCUGGCGGCAGGCCUAAUACAUGCAAGUCGAACGGCUCUUCGGAGCAGCGGCGGACGGGUGAGUAACGCGUGGGAAUGUGCCCUUUGGUACGGAACAACACAGGGAAACUUGUGCUAAUACCGUAUGUGCCCUUCGGGGGAAAGAUUUAUCGCCAUUGGGGCAGCCCGCGUUGGAUUAGGUAGUUGGUGAGGUAAAGGCUCACCAAGCCUACGAUCCAUAGCUGGUCUGAGAGGAUGACCAGCCACACUGGGACUGAGACACGGCCCAGACUCCUACGGGAGGCAGCAGUAGGGAAUCUUGCGCAAUGGGCGAAAGCCUGACGCAGCCAUGCCGCGUGUAUGAUGAAGGUCUUAGGAUUGUAAAAUACUUUCACCGGGGAAGAUAAUGACGGUACCCGGAGAAGAAGCCCCGGCUAACUUCGUGCCAGCCGCCGCGGUAACAC
rnacentral:rRNA from 1 species